CCUACGGGGGGCAGCAGUGAGGAAUAUUGGUCAAUGGACGAGAGUCUGAUCCAGCCAAGUAGCGUGAAGGAUGACUGCCCUAUGGGUUGUAAACUUCUUUUAUAUGGGAAUAAAAUGUUCCACGUGUGGGAUUUUGUAUGUACCAUAUGAAUAAGGAUCGGCUAACUCCGUGCCAGCAGCCGCGGUAAUACGGAGGAUCCGAGCGUUAUCCGGAUUUAUUGGGUUUAAAGGGAGCGUAGGUGGAUUGUUAAGUCAGUUGUGAAAGUUUGCGGCUCAACCGUAAAAUUGCAGUUGAAACUGGCAGUCUUGAGUGCAGUAGAGGUGGGCGGAAUUCGUGGUGUAGCGGUGAAAUGCUUAGAUAUCACGAAGAACUCCGAUUGCGAAGGCAGCUCGCUGGACUGCAACUGACACUGAGGCUCGAAAGUGUGGGGAGCAAACAGGAUUAGAUACCCGAGUAGUC
rnacentral:rRNA from 1 species